GUAGGUGGCAAGCGUUGUCCGGAAUUAUUGGGCGUAAAGCGCGCGCAGGCGGUCCUUUAAGUCUGAUGUGAAAGCCCACGGCUCAACCGUGGAGGGUCAUUGGAAACUGGGGGACUUGAGUACAGAAGAGGAAAGCGGAAUUCCAAGUGUAGCGGUGAAAUGCGUAGAGAUUUGGAGGAACACCAGUGGCGAAGGCGGCUUUCUGGUCUGUAACUGACGCUGAGGCGCGAAAGCGUGGGGAGCAAACAGGGAUUAGAUACCCUGGUAGUCCACGCCGUAAACGAUGAGUGCUAAGUGUUAGGGGGUUUCCCGCCCCUUAGUGCUGCAGCUAACGCAUUAAGCACUCUGCCUGGGGAGUACGGCCGCAAGGCUG
rnacentral:rRNA from 1 species